rnacentral:rRNA from 1 species
CGGGGAUAGCCUUUCGAAAGAAAGAUUAAUACCCGAUGGUAUAAUCAGACCGCAUGGUCUUGUUAUUAAAGAAUUUCGGUUAUCGAUGGGGAUGCGUUCCAUUAGGCAGUUGGUGAGGUAACGGCUCACCAAACCUUCGAUGGAUAGGGGUUCUGAGAGGAAGGUCCCCCACAUUGGAACUGAGACACGGUCCAAACUCCUACGGGAGGCAGCAGUGAGGAAUAUUGGUCAAUGGGCGCAGGCCUGAACCAGCCAAGUAGCGUGAAGGAUGACUGCCCUAUGGGUUGUAAACUUCUUUUAUAUGGGAAUAAAGUUUUCCACGUGUGGAAUUUUGUAUGUACCAUAUGAAUAAGGAUCGGCUAACUCCGUGCCAGCAGCCGCGGUAAUACGGAGGAUCCGAGCGUUAUCCGGAUUUAUUGGGUUUAAAGGGAGCGUAGGUGGACAGUUAAGUCAGUUGUGAAAGUUUGCGGCUCAACCGUAAAAUUGCAGUUGAUACUGGCUGUCUUGAGUACAGUAGAGGUGGGCGGAAUUCGUGGUGUAGCGGUGAAAUGCUUAGAUAUCACGAAGAACUCCGAUUGCGAAGGCAGCUCACUGGACUGCAACUGACACUGAUGCUCGAAAGUGUGGGUAUCAAACAGGAUUAGAUACCCUGGUAGUCCACACAGUAAACGAUGAAUACUCGCUGUUUGCGAUAUACAGUAAGCGGCCAAGCGAAAGCAUUAAGUAUUCCACCUGGGGAGUACGCCGGCAACGGUGAAACUCAAAGGAAUUGACGGGGGCCCGCACAAGCGGAGGAACAUGUGGUUUAAUUCGAUGAUACGCGAGGAACCUUACCCGGGCUUAAAUUGCAUUUGAAUAUAUUGGAAACAGUAUAGCCGUAAGGCAAAUGUGAAGGUGCUGCAUGGUUGUCGUCAGCUCGUGCCGUGAGGUGUCGGCUUAAGUGCCAUAACGAGCGCAACCCUUAUCUUUAGUUACUAACAGGUCAUGCUGAGGACUCUAGAGAGACUGCCGUCGUAAGAUGUGAGGAAGGUGGGGAUGACGUCAAAUCAGCACGGCCCUUACGUCCGGGGCUACACACGUGUUACAAUGGGGGGUACAGAAGGCAGCUACCUGGUGACAGGAUGCUAAUCCCAAAAGCC